GCCGAGAGAGCGAGUCGGUGCUACUGGCGCCGGGUCGGUCCGGGUAGGCGCAGCGGGACUGGACCUGGGUGCCGAGCGGAGCCGCUGCCAUGGGCCUGGGCGUCAGCGCUGAGCAGCCCGCAGGCGGCGCCGAGGGCUUCCACCUCCACGGGGUGCAGGAGAACUCCCCAGCCCAGCAGGCAGGCCUGGAGCCCUACUUUGACUUCAUCAUCACCAUUGGGCACUCGAGGCUGGUGAGUUCCCCAACCUGCCUCUGCUUUGCUUGCUUAUGUGUGUUUGUGUGUCUCCAUCUGUCCCACAGGGGGCCCCAGUCUACCCUUCCCUCCCUUUUUUUCUAAAGGGAGUCCCAGCCCUGUCUCCCCUUCUUCCAGGGCUGUACUCAGAGCCUGACUGGGGCCAUGCCCAAUGCUUAGCUUCUGAGCUCUCUGGGGUGGACAGAGGACAUAUGGCCUCUUGGAGGUGGCCACAGGGCCCAAGGGGCCUGCCUUCUGGGGCAUGAGGGAUAUGAGGGCCCUGGCCAAGGGGCAGUUCA
rnacentral:sRNA from 1 species